GACGAACCGUGCGAACGUUAUUCGGAAUCACUGGGCUUAAAGCGCGUGUAGGCGGGCCGGCACGUCGGCUGCUGAAAUCCCCCGGCUCAACCGGGGAAGGGGCACCGAUACGACCGGCCUGGAGGGGCGUAGGGGGACCGGGAACUUCCGGUGGAGCGGUGAAAUGCGUUGAGAUCGGAAGGAACGCCCGCGGCGAAAGCGCGGUCCUGGACGCCUGCUGACGCUGAGACGCGAAAGCCAGGGGAGCGAACGGG
rnacentral:rRNA from 1 species